rnacentral:rRNA from 2 species
UCCCUAUGGGGUGCAGCAGGCGCGAAAACUUUACAAUGCGGGCAACCGUGAUAAGGGAACCUCGAGUGCCUGUAUAUGCAGGCUGUCCAGGUGUCUAAAACACACCUGAAGAAAGGGCCGGGCAAGACCGGUGCCAGCCGCCGCGGUAAUUCA